rnacentral:rRNA from 1 species
GAAGCCUUCGGGCUUAGUGGCGCACGGGUGCGUAACGCGUGGGAAUCUGCCCUUGGGUUCGGAAUAACAGUGAGAAAUUACUGCUAAUACCGGAUGAUGACGUAAGUCCAAAGAUUUAUCGCCCAAGGAUGAGCCCGCGUAGGAUUAGCUAGUUGGUGGGGUAAAGGCCCACCAAGGCGACGAUCCUUAGCUGGUCUGAGAGGAUGAUCAGCCACACUGGGACUGAGACACGGCCCAGACUCCUACGGGAGGCAGCAGUGGGGAAUAUUGGACAAUGGGCGAAAGCCUGAUCCAGCAAUGCCGCGUGAGUGAUGAAGGCCUUAGGGUUGUAAAGCUCUUUUACCCGGGAUGAUAAUGACAGUACCGGGAGAAUAAGCUCCGGCUAACUCCGUGCCAGCAGCCGCGGUAAUACGGAGGGAGCUAGCGUUAUUCGGAAUUACUGGGCGUAAAGCGCACGUAGGCGGCUUUGUAAGUAAGAGGUGAAAGCCCGGAGCUCAACUCCGGAACUGCCUUUUAGACUGCAUCGCUUGAAUCCAGGAGAGGUGAGUGGAAUUCCGAGUGUAGAGGUGAAAUUCGUAGAUAUUCGGAAGAACACCAGUGGCGAAGGCGGCUCACUGGGACUGGUAUUGACGCUGAGGUGCGAAAGCGUGGGGAGCAACAGGAUAGAUACCUGGUAGUCACGCCGUAAACGAUGAUACUAGCUGUCUGGGUACUGGUACUUAGG